rnacentral:rRNA from 1 species
UACGUAGGUGGCAAGCGUUGUCCGGAAUUAUUGGGCGUAAAGCGCGUGUAGGCGGCCCUGCAAGUCGGGUGUGAAAUCCCACGGCUCAACCGUGGAAGUGCAUUCGAAACUGCAGGGCUAGAGUCCUGGAGAGGAAGGUGGAAUGCUUGGUGUAGAGGUGAAAUUCGUAGAUAUCAAGCGGAACACCGGUGGCGAAGGCGGCCUUCUGGACAGUGACUGACGCUGAGACGCGAAAGCGUGGGGAGCAAACAGG